UUAGUGAUGAUGAGCCUUUAACAUGUAAGAAAAAUCCCCAGUGGGGUUUCUUCAAUGAAAUAUUCAUGUUACGCUUGGCUUCUGAGCUUA